rnacentral:lncRNA from 1 species
GGGACCAGGUUCAUCUUCAAGUAAGUGAACUGUUUUGUUGAUUGUUGAUUUUUUUGUCAGUGCAUGAGUGAAUUCUUUGAAAGUCAUUUCUUCUAUUUAAGACAACACCUGAUAGAAUCCUUUAGUUGAUGUAUAUUUCUAUCCUCACUAGGACUCCCAGGUAGUUUCACUUAUUCUUUUCUGCCUUCUCUCCCUCUUGUCAUUUGAAUAAG